UACGUAGGGGGCUAGCGUUGUCCGGAAUUACUGGGCGUAAAGAGCUCGUAGGUGGUUUGUCGCGUUGUUCGUGAAAACUCACAGCUCAACUGUGGGCGUGCGGGCGAUACGGGCAGACUGGAGUACUGCAGGGGAGACUGGAAUUCCUGGUGUAGCGGUGGAAUGCGCAGAUAUCAGGAGGAACACCGGUGGCGAAGGCGGGUCUCUGGGCAGUAACUGACGCUGAGGAGCGAAAGUGUGGGGAGCGAACAGG
rnacentral:rRNA from 1 species